UUUUUUAUCGAAAAAUUCCCCCUUUAAAAAUCAUUGUAUUUUCAUUGAACCCUAAUCUUAACUGUAGAUAGCCCACCCCUCCCCUCCGCUUCUCUUUGAAAUCGUAACUCUCUGCUCUCCGAUCUCUCUCCAUCUGCUCGUCGUCACUCCUUAUGCUUGACAUCGCCGUCGAUUCGUCUGCUUCUCUGCAUUUCGUUCUCUAAAACUUUAGAACACUAUGAGCAAGGAGCUUUCCGCAGUUUGAUUAUGUAUAAUGCUAGACAUGAGCAAGAAGCAUACUGGAACAAUGAGCACAUAUUGCCCUGCACCUCUGAGAUCUACACCGCCUCUGAGGGUGACCGCUAUGAGAAAUCGGUUAUUUAUGAAAUUAUUGAAACAUCGUGGUAUACCAGAUGGUUUGAUUAUAAGCCACCUCCCUUUUGGUCCAACAGCUUAUCUCAACUGCUCAAUUUGGUGCAGGAUGUUUUGUGAUGCUACAUAGUGGCGAAGCCACGUGAGGACGAGGAGUGGUGACCGCCCCUCCCCUCGCCGGAAAACACAGCUGAAGCCGAGGUUUCGCCCCUCCCCUCACCGGAAAACCCAGCCCCUCCAUCUCUGUUUUGGCACCGGUGAACUGGUUUCUGCUGCGUGCAGCAGCACUGGGUUCUUUUUUUUCCUUUUAAAUUAAUAAAAAAUUUAAAAUCUGGCCCGCAUGUCCCAAAGUUAGGCCCCUCCAUGUCUCAUGUCUGUUUCAAAUUAGUGCCCCUCCACGUGAAACUUUCAAUGUUUGAAAAAAACCAAAAAAAUAUAUAUGUUUUGGGGGGACCGCGUGGCAUGUCCCCCAUUCCUUCACUUAGUCAGCCCGCGUGUCAUGCUUUACCAUUCCAAAUUUCUCCCUUCCCCAAUCAGAGAGAGAGAGAGUGCAAAGCUUCUCCCAAAAUCUCAGCAGCCUGAGCCUGCAGCCAACGCCCGCAGCCAACGCCCAACCCCAACGGAACGGAAAAUAAAUCCCCAUUGGCUGAUUUCUGUUGGCUUUUUGCUGCUAACACUAGCCACUCCAGCCGCUAAGCCGACUUCUAGCCUUCAAUUUCAAAGUUACGUAAUGGAACGGUACUAUAAGAAACAAUGCUUAAAUCCUCCUUCAAACAUUUCGGGUAGUCCUUCUCGUUCAAAUAUUCCAAGUAGUCAUCUUCCUCCUCCUUCAAAUAUAAGAUGUCCUUUGAAUAUUCUGAGUAGUUCACAACAAAGUGAGCCCACUGAGUUGGAUGAGAUAUUGGCUAAUCUUCAUGCAACCGCUUCGGUGGAGAGAGCUUUUUCUGCUAUGAAGAUUAUGAAAACACCAUUGCAUAACAAAAUGGGAGAUCAAUGGUUGAGUGAUAGCAUGCUUGUUUACAUAGAGAGAGAUGUAUUUGCUUUUAUUGAUAAUGAGCCUAUUAUGCGACGUUUUCAUGGUAUGAAACGUCGUCGGCAACAAUUGUAAUUUGUUUAUGUUGAUAAAUUAUGGAAGACAUUACUAUAUAAAAUGAUUUGGUUGUUGCUAU